UGAGUACGAGAUGCUACGGCAUCGAAGCAGUCUAUGUCAUACUUCCAAGAAAAGCUUGCACUGUCAUAAACAAAGAAUGCCUGUACCAUAACCGACACAGGUGGGUAGGUAGAGUAUACUAAGGGGCGCGAGAUAACUCUCUCUAAGGAACUCGGCAAAAUGACUCCGUAACUUCGGGAGAAGGAGUGCCUUAUUUCUAAGGUUGCAAUAACAAGAUCCAAGCAACUGUUACCAAAAACACAGGUCUCCGCUAAGUCGUAAGACGAUGUAUGGGGGCUGACGCCUGCCCAGUGCCAGAAGGUUAAAGAAGUUGGUUAGCAUUAGCGAAGCUGAUAACUGAAGCCCUGGUGAACGGCGGCCGUAACAAUAACGGUCCUAAGGUAGCGAAAUUCCUUGUCGGGUAAGUUCCGACCCGCACGAAAGGCGUAAUGAUUUGGAUACUGUCUCGGAGAGGGGCUCGGUGAAAUAGACUUGUCUGUGAAGAUGCGGACUACCUGCACCUGGACAGAAAGACCCUAUGAGGCUCUACUGUAACUUGAGAUUGAAAUUGGACUUUAUUUGCGCAGUAUAGGUGGGAGGCGUUGAGAAUAAUCUUGCGGGAUUGUUGGAGCCAUCAGUGAGAUACCACUCUUGUAAUGUUAGAUUUCUAACUUUGUAUCAUUAUCUGGUCAAAGAACAGUUUCAGGCGGGCAGUUUGACUGGGGCGGUCGCCUCCCAAAGGGUAACGGAGGCGCACAAAGGUUUCCUCUGAACGGGUAGAAAUCGUAUCUAGAGUGUAAAGGCAUAAGGAAGCUUGACUGUGAGACCUACAAGUCGAGCAGGGACGAAAGUCGGUCUUAGUGAUCUGACGGUGCUGAGUGGAAAGGCCGUCACUCAACGGAUAAAAGUUACUCUAGGAUAACAGGCUGAUCUCCCCCAAGAGUUCACAUCGACGGGGAGGUUUGGCACCUCGAUGUCGGCUCAUCGCAUCCUGGGGCGGUAGUCCGUCCCAAGGGUUGGGCUGUUCGCCCAUGAAAGCGGUACGCGAGCUGGGUUCAGAACGUCGUGAGACAGUUCGGUCCAUAUCCGGUGUAGGCGUUAGAAUAUUGAGAGGAGCCUUCUCUAGUACGAGAGGACCGAGAAGGACAUACCUCUGGUGUACCAGUUAUCGUGCCAACGGUAAACGCUGGGUAGCUAUGUAUGGAGUGGAUAACCGCUGAAAGCAUCUAAGUGGGAAGCCCACCUCAAGAUAAGUAUUCCC
rnacentral:rRNA from 1 species